AAUAUUUGCCGAGGGGAAAAAAAAAUAUUUUGCGGCGAGGACCCUCAAGAAUCACUUCACUGCUGAUGUGACGCGCGGUGGAGAGACAGAGCAAAAGGGAGAGAUGUCUGUGCAGUGCGCGGCGCACGCGGUCCGGGCGCUUGCCGUGCUCCCGGCGCCAGCCUCCCCUCGCCGCCGGGCGACCUGUGUGUUCUUGUCCCUCCCGCCGCGGCGGCUGGGGCGCGCCGUCGCGCCCAUACGCGCCGCGAAGCCAUCGUCACCUCCUUCCGCAGCGCCCGCUGCGCAGCCAACCGGCGCCUCUGCCGGCAAGGCUGCCGUCCCGGACGACGAGUUCUCCCUCGCCAAGGUGUCCUUCGGUGUGAUUGGGCUGGGAGUUGGGAUCUCGCUCCUGUCGUAUGGAUUCGGCUCGUAUUUCAACCUGCUUCCCGGCUCGGAGUGGUCAGCGCUGCUGCUAACCUACGGGUUUCCUCUCACAAUCAUCGGCAUGGCCUUGAAGUAUGCAGAACUGAAACCAGUGCCCUGCAUAACCUACGCUGAGGCUCUUGCUCUAAGAGAAAAGUGUGCCACCCCCAUUCUGAAGCAGGUCAGGAGUGAUGUUACACGUUUUAGAUAUGGUGAUGAGCAGCACCUGGAUGAAGCGCUACAGCGAAUCUUUCAAUACGGUUUGGGUGGUGGCAUUCCUAGACGUAAUGCGCCUAUUUUACAAAAAAUUCAAGAAGAAGUAACUGAGGAUGGGAAAUACAGUUUAGUUCUGGUAUUUGAAGCCAAAGCACUGGAGCUAUCUGAUUUUGAGAAGAGACAGCAGGCAAAAUUCACCUCCUUUUUUGGUCCUGGUAUUAAGGCGGAAAUUGGAAACGGUGGCGAUGAUCUAUAUGAAGUUCGCCUUAUCUCAGAGACUACUUAGAAACAAACUUCGGGAAGUUCCUCAAAUACAAAACUGUCAAACCCGGUUUAGAAAAGCUUUGAUAGCUAUAAUUGGUUGUUGACUCUUGACUGCGAUCUGACACUUUCAUACACUCCAAGGGCUUGUGCAAAGAAAAAGCUAUUGUAACAUAGAUGUAAAUGGACUUGAUUGGGAGUGCUGUCCAUAUAAUUGAAAGAGGAGUGAAACAUUUCAGGGAAGGAUCGACACAUGAGUGAAUAAUAUAGAGAAUUGCUGCAACAGAUCUGAGGACCACAGAAGAGUAAUCAAUCAAUCCAUUCCAGGAUCUGGAUCUAGGCAACACUGAGCACUGACAACAGUAGAUCCUUCUUCUGGUAGGCCAGGUUACUGACAGAGCAGAUGACAAAUACUAGCUAUUACCAGACGACAAUCAUGUGAAUGUUUUCUGUGCUGCAUCUAGAACCCAUGAUUCUGGGCCCCAACUCCAGAAGCAGGACGUCCAGGUGAAUCGGCAGCAGGUUUACAGGAAGGAAUGUCAGGACCCUGCGUGGUUUGCUAACUGGGAAGCAUAAGCAUAACAGUAAAUUAGCAGCCGUGCAUCUACUGAAUACUGACGCAGACUGACACUGCAGCUUCUGAAAACAAAAACGGCACAUGCUGAAUGGAAGAUCAUGUGAGCAGUGGCUGCAGUUGUCGUGCGGCUUCCACUCGCUCAUGUGUGACUCUCAUGCCACAUGCACCCUUGACGAGCACCAGCUUUUCUGGUGUGUGCUUAGGCUAGGCUACUAAGGGAUAUUUAGGUUGUGAUUGCUACUACAUGAUGGUCAAAUGAGGAAUCUUAUGACCAGUCAGCCACAUCUGCUCUCUUGUACUUGCAGUAUUAUUAGCAGCUUAAUUCAUACGGUCUCGUAGCUGAUGGAGCUGA